UACGGAGGGUCCAAGCGUUAUCCGGAAUCAUUGGGUUUAAAGGGUCCGUAGGCGGUUUGGUAAGUCAGUGGUGAAAGCCCAUCGCUCAACGGUGGAACGGCCAUUGAUACUGCCAGACUUGAAUUAUUAGGAAGUAACUAGUAUAUGUAGUGUAGCGGUGAAAUGCUUAGAGAUUACAUGGAAUACCAAUUGCGAAGGCAGGUUACUACUAAUGGAUUGACGCUGAUGGACGAAAGCGUGGGUAGCGAACAGG
rnacentral:rRNA from 1 species